CGGCGCAGGCGUGGGCAGGAGGCGGCGCUCAUUUGGAUCAGACGGAGGCGGCAGACACGGUGACGUAUGGAGAGGGGGGGACGGCGCGGUGACGUAUGGCGGGGGGGGACGGUGCGGACGUGGGCAGGAGGCGGCGCGCAGCUAGAUGAGAGGUGUUUCCCCGAAAAGUAAGACAUAUGUCUUACUUUCGGGGUACGGCUUAUAUUAGCCGACCCCCCUGAAACCCCCGAUACGUCUUACAAUCGGGGGUGUCUUACUAUCGGGGAAACAGGGUAACUAGUUAAAAGUCGCUAACAAGCAAAUUGGCUUGAAAUCAACUUUGCACUAGUUUGAAAACUUUUAAACCAAUAUCAUCCAGUCUGCCACUAGCUAGCUAUUGUUUUGCUAGCUGGCUAGCUACCGUAAAUAUAAAGUAUCAGGCCUCAUUUAAACAGGAUUUAAAGGGGCUUCAAAUAUUUCAGGGGAUUUACUGAGACUGAAUUACUGAAGAGCUACCAAAAGGAAGGAAUCAUAUAAAAGUUAACAAAUAAAUUUAGUUGUAAAAAGUAGUGGAGAGAAGCUAACGCUUUCGACCUAAAUGUGACAUUAAUGUCAUAUGUGUUUCUUUUAAAGGAUGAACAAUCUUGAAAACACAAUUAUUAAUCUGAAUUUAAUUUGUCACUCAACUGAAAACGUCUCCAUUGACGCCAAGUUGAAAAACAGAUAAUCGAGGCGAAAAUGUUUCUUGAACAGCUGUUGUUCCUGCCCAGCCUGACUCAGUCAAAGCAAACUGUCCUCAUAAACAUUUCCCAGGAAGACCAAAGGACGACGUUUCAACAGAAACUCUGAAAUGUCUCUCAUUCCUCUGGGCGAUGGAAUUACAAAGAGCCGAGGCGACUUUUCAGAGAGGAAACAUCUUUAAAAUCUUCUCCACUUACCAGGAGUCUGCCCUGCGAACCGAACGUUGCAUCUGCAGUGGAAUAAACCGGAUUUAAAUGUUUCUGAAUGUUGGAUGGAACUACCCCUUUACCUCCAAGUGGAAUAUUGAAAAUAAAGGUGCCAUGCUUUCAGUGGAAUACCUCCGUUUUACCUGUGGACUGAUGGAUUUAAGUCCAACUGGAUCUCUGGGACAAAAUGGAGCGGCAUGGAACCAGCACUCUGCUGUCGUAGUCUGCAGCCUCUCUCUCUGCAUCAACAAGGGCCAAGGAACUUUAUUUCAUCCUAAUACGAGUUAUACUAGUAAUAAUAAUUAAGAAUAUAAUAAUAAUAAUAAUGAAACUGCUAAUAAUAAUUAAUAAUGAUAAUAAUGAGGACUUUUCUGGUUUCUUCAGACUGUCUUUACUUCUGUUUGAGUUGCCGACAGUACCUGGGCUUCUCGUUCAGCUCUUCCUCAAUAAGUACACUUUGACCUGGUGAACAGAAAUAAAUGGUGAACGAAGACGAAAGACGAGUAAAAGGCAACAGAAGUUUUACUUUAGUAAAAAGAAGGAAUGAGAGGAGACAGGAAGUGAAUGAGUGGUGGAUGGACAUGAACAGGAAAUUCAGUUUUAAAGGCAAAUUUCACCAGAAUUUCAUCAUAUUUUUUCUUAUCUUGGAGUCGUUAAGGCUGCGACUUCAAAAGGUUGGCAUGAGCUGAGGCUGUUAACUUUUACUCUGGAUAAUAUACUACUGUCGGCAAUGAAGUAGAGAAAUUAUGCAUGUUUGAUCAGAAAAACACAGUUACCUACAACACACACACACACACAGCAGGUGUGAUGAAUAGCUUCGAGUCAAACGUUCUGCCCUUUGUUUCGUCUCUCAGGAGUCGUCCCUCUUCAACAGGGUGACAUCAUCCCUCGCUUUUUGCAUCCGUUAUUUCUCCGUCCUCCCGUUUAUUCCUCUCCCUCUGGCGGACAUUGUGACCUCGCUGCCGGCGAUUUUGGCGUCAAAACGCCUCGACAUGUCAAUGAAUCAGCGUCCCAAAAUGUCAGGUCUGCAACCAUGGCGACCCGUUAUCCGCUCGGCGUCCCGUAGCGUCACGGCCAGAAGCGCAGAGCUCCACUUGGAGUCAGAAACCGUCCUGCUGCCUCCUGGCAGAAAUACGGCAGAUUUCUGUCCUUAGUUUCUGAACGUCAACGAGACUUUGGGGGUUUUACAUCAGCAAACGACCCAACAUCAAGUUUUACUUUAGCUGAAUGGCCCUAUAACUAUUCAUGGGAGAUAAAGAAGGUCAGGGUUAGA